AAUAGAUACCCGGGUAGUCCCAGCUGUAAACGAUGCAGACUCGGUGAUGAGUUGGCUUAUUGCUAACUCAGUGCCGCAGGGAAGCCGUUAAGUUUGCCGCCUGGGGAGUACGGUCGCAAGACUGAAACUUAAAGGAAUUGGCGGGGGAGUACCACAAGGGGUGAAGCCUGCGGUUCAAUUGGAGUCAACGCCGGAAAUCUUACCGGGGGCGACAGCAGAGUGAAGGUCAAGCUGAAGACUUUACCAGACAAGCUGAGAGGAGGUGCAUGGCCGUCGCCAGCUCGUGCCGUGAGGUGUCCUGUUAAGUCAGGUAGCGAGCGAGAUCCCUGCCUUUAGUUGCUACCAUUAUUCUCAGGAGUAGUGGAGCUAAUUAGAGGGACCGCCGUCGCUGAGACGGAGGAAGGUGGGGGCUACGGCAGGUCAGUAUGCCCCGAAACCCUCGGGCCACACGCGGGCUGCAAUGGUAAGGACAAUGAGUUUCGAUUCCGAAAGGAGGAGGCAAUCUCUAAACCUUACCACAGUUAUGAUUGAGGGCUGAAACC
rnacentral:rRNA from 1 species